UACGUAGGGGGCGAGCGUUGUCCGGAGUUACUGGGCGUAAAGCGCACGUAGGCGGCUUUGUAAGUUAGAGGUGAAAGCCCGGGGCUCAACUCCGGAACUUGCCUUUAAGACUGCAUCGCUAGAAUUGUGGAGAGGUAAGUGGAAUUCCGAGUGUAGAGGUGAAAUUCGUAGAUAUUCGGAAGAACACCAGUGGCGAAGGCGACUACUGGACACAUAUUGACGCUGAGGUGCGAAAGCGUGGGGAGCAAACAGG
rnacentral:rRNA from 1 species